rnacentral:miRNA from 17 species
CUGUACAAGCCACUGCCUUGC